CUCCUACGGGAGGCAGCAGUAGGGAAUUUUCGUCAAUGGGGGGAACCCUGAACGAGCAAUGCCGCGUGAGUGAGGAAGGUCUUCGGAUCGUAAAGCUCUGUUGUAAGAGAAAAACGGCACUCAUAGGGAAUGAUGAGUGAGUGAUGGUAUCUUACCAGAAAGUCACGGCUAACUACGUGC
rnacentral:rRNA from 1 species